rfam:Helianthus annuus linkage group 6, whole genome shotgun sequence.
AAUCCAUGAUGUGGACAUUUUCUAAGGAAUACCUUGAAAAGUUACCAAGUUUCAUACAAAGAUUCCCCAUCAUCUUGAGUGAAAGAAUAAAUUUCAGGCAUGAGUUU